rnacentral:precursor_RNA from 1 species
GCAAUCCCAGGUACUCGGGAGGCUGAGGCAGGAGAAUCACUUGAACCUGGGAAGCAGGGGUUGCAG